AACAAGGAAAAGGAGCUGGUAUCAGGCUCAAUUUUAAGCCCACGACACCUAGCCACGCCACGCCCACAAGGGUAUUCAGCAGUGAUAAACCUUGUUUAUAAGCGCAAGCUUGAAUCAGUUAUGGUAAAGAGGGCCGGCAAAUCCGGUGCCAGCCGCCGCGGCUACACCGUUAGGCCCAAGUUGACACACACCGGCGUUAAGCGUGAUUAGAGUGAUUACACUGAUUAGAGUUAAACCCAAACUUAGUCGUGAUACACUUGUUCCCGGGAAACCCAAAAACGAAAGUUACUCUAACCAACCCACUUGACCCCACGACAGCUAGGACACAAACUGGGAUUAGGUACCCCACUAUGCCUAGCCGUAAAAUAUACACUCACCCCCACAAAUCGCCAGGGAAUUACGAGCCCAAGCUUAAAACCCAAAGGACGGGACGGGGUCCCACCCACCUAGAGGAGCCUGUUCUAUAAUCGAUUCCCCCCGAUAAACCUCACCACUUCUGGCCAACUCAGCCUGUAUACCUCCGUCGUAAGCUUACCAUGUGAACGAAACCAGUGAGCCAAAAGAUCCAACAUCAGCACGUCAGGUCAAGGUGCAGCUAACGAACUGGAAAGAAAUGGGCUACAAUUUCUACCAUAGAACAAACGAAAGGCUACAUGAAACAUAGUCACUGAAGGCGGAUUUAGCAGUAAAAAGAAAA
rnacentral:rRNA from 1 species